UGAAGAGUGCGUUUCAUCUCGGUCAGCUCAUUCCGAGCAGAGGUGGUGGCACCAGCGUCGUCGGAGAUCUGCUGCUGCAGGGAGGCGCUCUGCAAGGCCUCCGCGUCCCGGCGGUUCUGCUCGGCCAGGGCUUCGUACUCGGCCCGCAUGUUGUUCAGCAGGACCGUGAGGUCCACCCCGGGUGCCGCGUUCAUCUCCACGUUCACGUUCCCUCCAGCCGCGCACUGCAGCGCCUUCAUUUCCUGAAAAAUUUGACCCCGUUAGGAGCUGACUAUUUUCUACAGGAUGCAUGAGGUGAGAAACUUUGUUUCUUUGGAGGCGGGUGGAUAGAAGCAUUUCAAACAAUCAGCCACACAGAGAAAGUGACGAGUUCCUUCUGGAAUACUGAUGUCGGACAUUGUUGUACCGGUCAUCUGAAAUUCAUUUUUAAAUUUUGGGACCAAGGCGGAUUGUGGAAUCAGGGGAGACCGAGACCUACCUCCUCAUGAUUUUUCUUGAGGUCAUCAAUUAUUGGGAAGUAUCUGCUGUAAUCAUGAUCAAGACCACGGCAAGAACCAGGCCCAAAUUUCUCGUACCAGCCCUUGAUCUUCUGCUCCAGGUCAGCGUUGGCCUCCUCUAGUGCUCGCACAUUUUCCAGUUUAAAAUCAAUGGACUAUAAGCUUGAUAAAGCUCCUUCACCUGAUGUGUAAGUUUCUUCUUGAGGUGGGAGCCAAGACACAAUCAAGCCAAAGAAGAGGAAAAGAAAGGGUUAAUUACUUGCAACAAGCCAGGAAAACAACAUGGAUAUUUCCAGACAACAAAAUUAGGGAAGUUUUAAGGAAGAGUGCCCCACCAUGAGAAGAAACACCCGGAAG